rnacentral:rRNA from 1 species
AGUGAACGCUGGCGGUAGGCCUAACACAUGCAAGUCGAACGGCAGCACAGUAAGAGCUUGCUCUUACGGGUGGCGAGUGGCGGACGGGUGAGGAAUACAUCGGAAUCUACUUUUUCGUGGGGGAUAACGUAGGGAAACUUACGCUAAUACCGCAUACGACCUACGGGUGAAAGCAGGGGAUCUUCGGACCUUGCGCGAUUGAAUGAGCCGCUGUCGGAUUAGCUAGUUGGCGGGGUAAAGGCCCACCAAGGCGACGAUCCGUAGCUGGUCUGAGAGGAUGAUCAGCCACAUGGGAACUGAGACACGGUCCAGACUCCUACGGGAGGCAGCAGUGGGGAAUAUUGGACAAUGGGCGCAAGCCUGAUCCAGCCAUACCGCGUGGGUGAAGAAGGCCUUCGGGUUGUAAAGCCCUUUUGUUGGGAAAGAAAAGCAGCAGGUUAAUACCCCGCUGUUCUGACGGUACCCAAAGAAUAAGCACCGGCUAACUUCGUG